CUUGUUCCGUGACUGCGUACCUUUUGUAUAAUGGGUCAGCGACUUACGUUCAGUAGCGAGCUUAACCGAGUAGGGGAGGCGUAGGGAAACCGAGUCCGAAUAGGGCGCAUAGUUGCUGGGCGUAGACCCGAAACCAAGUGAUCUAUCCAUGGCCAGGUUGAAGGUGCCGUAACAGGUACUGGAGGACCGAACCCACUAGUGUUGCAAAACUAGGGGAUGAGCUGUGGAUAGGGGGUGAAAAGGCUAAAACAAACUUGGAAAUAGCUGGUUCUCUCCGAAAACUAUUUAGGUAGUGCCUCACGUAUCACUCUCGGGGGUAGAGCACUGUCAUGGCUAGGGGGUCAUCGCGACUUACCAAACCAUAGCAAACUCCGAAUACCGAGAAGUGCGAGCGUGGGAGACAGACAUCGGGUGCUAACGUCCGGUGUCAAGAGGGAAACAACCCAGACCGCCAGCUAAGGUCCCAAAUGACGUGCUAAGUGGUAAACGAAGUGGGAAGGCAUAGACAGCCAGGAUGUUGGCUAGUAAGCAGCCAUCAUU
rnacentral:rRNA from 1 species